CCUACGGGUGGCAGCAGUGAGGAAUAUUGGUCAAUGGACGAGAGUCUGAACCAGCCAAGUAGCGUGAAGGAUGACUGCCCUAUGGGUUGUAAACUUCUUUUAUAUGGGAAUAAAAUGUUACACGAGUGGGAUUUUGUAUGUACCAUAUGAAUAAGGAUCGGCUAACUCCGUGCCAGCAGCCGCGGUAAUACGGAGGAUCCGGGCGUUAUCCGGAUUUAUUGGGUUUAAAGGGAGCGUAGGUGGAUUGUUAAGUCAGUUGUGAAAGUUUGCGGCUCAACCGUAAAAUUGCAGUUGAAACUGGCAGUCUUGAGUACAGUAGAGGUGGGCGGAAUUCGUGGUGUAGCGGUGAAAUGCUUAGAUAUCACGAAGAACUCCGAUUGCGAAGGCAGUUCACUGGACUGCAACUGACACUGAGGCUCGAAAGUGUGGGUAUCAAACAGGAUUAGAUACCCCAGUAGGC
rnacentral:rRNA from 1 species